GUUCAUGGACGUGGGACAGCAAUUAAAGAAGAACGACAAGAAUUUAUGCAGGGUUUUUUCGUGAAAAAAACAGCAGCAAUAAAGGAUGCAUGGUGGCCGAAUUUAAUGUACAACAAAGACAUGCAUUAAGGGUGCUGUUCUACAUGCAAGGGACGACAUUUAAGAGGUGGCUGCUGUUGCACCCUUUCCAAGCUAAUUAUUCAGCUCACCAAUGCAUUUUUAAAGCCCAACUAUUGAAAUAUUCCAUUCACCAACAAAGGCCUUUCAGAUUCCUGUGUUCACACUCCUUUGGCCGAUCAGCUCUUUGUGUUCACAUUCUAUGACUAUUGAUGAGUCCAAGUUAAUCAUUAAAUUUCAAGACUAAUUAGCUGACCAAAGCAGCUCUUUCAAGGCUCAUAAAAGACCUUGGCCGAACCUGGUAUGCCUUUUUCAGCUCAAGGCUCCUCGUGCGCAUCAAAGAUACCAUUCAAAGCUGUUCGUGUAGCUCAAUGGUUAGCCAAGCAUUGAAGACGUUCCAUGAAUCUUUCCAGCUGAGUUAAUCCCAUCUAGAAGCUGUCCAUUUAUCUACCUUUUGUGACCAUUUGGCUUGACAUUUAAUAUUAGUAUAAAUAGUUGUUUUGUAAUCAUUUUGGGGUAGACAAUAUACUUUUGAAUCUUAUAUGAUAUCUGAUUACUUUGUGAGUUUGUUUUCAACUCUCAUUGUUCUCCAAAGACUCAUCUAACUUAUCAAGUAACCCUUGUGGCGUCAACCCGUCUUUCUUUCUGAACUUAUCACUUUGUACCCAAAGUGUGGCGUUCAAAUUAUACCGAGGUUCUUAUCAUCUUUGAUAGCGGGUCGAGGUUCCAUUUUAUUCAUUUUUCCAUCCAUACAACAUUUAUCCUACCUAAGUGUUCGUAUUAGUCUCGGGUUAACACACUUAUAUUGUGUUGGUUCAACUUGAGUACUUAGUUUUUCAUUCACAUAUCAACCUCAAUACAUUCCAUCACCUCUUUUUGAACUAACUUGAGCCUUUAUCUUUUCUUUCUUAACCUAUUUUCGACAAACCUUAAUAUUACUCCAAUUCACGAUCGGGCACAUCAACGACUCGGAUUCAUCAACAAGCCCGGGGCGUAUCAUUUUGGUAUUAGAGCUAGCUGAAUCGGACAUACCAUUUCCGACAUCAUUACCCACCAAGCCAAAUCUAUUUUGUAAGCCGACGCCAAACGGUGUUGAUUCGUCGAUCUAGUUUGCGGAGAACUUCGAGAGACGAAAAUCGAGUGGUAAAAGGCAAGAGAGUGUGAGUUAAUUCGAGAGAAGAAAAGCCAAAAGCGAGCGUAAACACAAGUGGAGUGAAAAUUUUCUUUUCGAGUGACUUGCGAGGUUUUGUGGUGAGGUAUUUACUUUCUAUUUUAAACACUUUUUUUCUUUUUAGCAAAAAAAAAUGUCUCAAGAAGAAUUUUCUGAAUCAGAAUUCCAAUAUUUGAUGCAAGAGAUGCGUAGAAUGGUGAAAUCAAAAUUCGAUAAAUUGCAUGAUCGAUUGGAUCGAGUGGAGGAAAGAGCGCGAUGGAAGUCAAAUUCACCAGGUCGAGAAACGGAGUUAAGAUCAUCACGACGACACUACUUGACAAGAGACUCUUAUCAAGACUCCUAUUCAACAAAGCGUUCGAGACCAAGAGAAGCAAACUCUAAAUUUGAGUCCUUCUGAGAUGAUAAACAAAAAGGUAGACAUGUCUCUACAAGUACAUCAAUUUAUUCAUCUGUGAAGGUUGGCUUACGAAGAGGUGAACGUGUUUCAAGAGUGUCAAAGUACUCAGCUACGGGAGAUCUAUCACAAAGAGAUGAUUGUCAUUUGUAUGAAGAACCGUUUUCUUAUUCUCAACAAAAGACUUCUUAUUUUGAUGAUUUCUACCUUUGUAAAGAAAUCAAAAUAGCAUGUGAAAAAGAAAAAGAAAAAGAGUGCGAGUGAGAAAAUGAAAAAGAAAAAGAAGAUGAGUGUAAGAUAGAAAAGAAAAUUGAAAAUGAGAUUGAGAAUAAAAACGAGUGUGAAAAAGAAAAGAAAACUGAAAAAGAGAGUGAGAUUGAAGAAAGAAACGAGAGUGCAAAAGAAAUGAGUGAUAUGGUAAAAUAAAGAGGAUUUGAAAAUGAGUUGGAAAAAGAAAUAAGCGAAAAGGAUGAAAGUGAACAAGCAAGGAGUGUUUUUACUAACCAUCCUAUGAGUUUUCCUUGUAUUGUUUCUACUUUUCAGGUUUCUCAAAAUCCCAUUGAUCAAUUUCAACUUCAAUACUUUUCUGAGGAGAGACGAUUUCGAUUAGUCGAGAAAGGUAAGAUCGUAGAUGACCCUAGUCCACAAGUGCUUAAAGGUAAGCCAUGUAAGGGUUCUACUGUAUUUGAGUCUUCUCAAUCUUACUUGAUUCUUGAUGACAAGAUUACCAAAGACUUAGUUUGUGAGAGAAUUUUUCAUCUUGAUUUUAUUGGAAAUCAUAAUUUUAUUGUUGAUGAAUGUAUUUUACAUAGUAAUGCGAAAUAUCUUUCUGCUCAUGAGCCUAACAUUGUCAAGAUUGAUCAAGAAGUAAGUCCAGGUGAGCCCGAACAAAAUUUGUCUUUUUUGUGAUAAAAGGUUGGUAUAUCACACGUCAAAUCUUCUUGUAUGUGAUGACAAUUUGAAUUUGCUGAUUCGUUUGUGUGAUAAAACGUUGAUGAGUAAAAUACCUAGUUCAUUUGCUUGUGAUGGUGGUGAGACGUUACUGCUUUGUUUUGUAAAUUCUACAUGUUUGUGUAAGUUAGAUCAAGUGAAAUUUGAUAUAUCUGGCUGUUCUAGAACAAAGCAUGUGAAUAUUGUUAGCUUGCAAAGCCAAAAUUUGAUUUAUGAUUCUGGUAAUUGCUCCAUACUUUGGUUUAAAAGGUUCGAAUAUGUCUUGCAUAAUCAUUACUUAAAAUUACAUCAUUUCCUUUUUAUGAUACCGAUUUUGAAAUUGUCAUAUCAAAUUGGAAUGGCAAGAGGAAACUUUGUUUUUGACCCCGGUGCAUAUCAUUUUGAAUUGUUGUCAAAGGGAUUCGAACCGUGGGAAGUUGGCUUCCAAAAUUAUAGCUAUCGAGUGCCUUGUGACUCAGGUUUGUUGCAAUCAAUGCAUUUUUUAAUUCAUUAUGAUAAGGUGAGACCAACUUCUAUUUUUGAUCCCGGCAUUGACUCAUAUGUUCACUUGUUGAAUAAGAUCUUCAAAAAUUCUUUUGAGUUUAUAAUUUCUAGUGUCACUAACCUAUGUCUUUCUUGUGUAGGUGACACUUUGAAAUGGUUCCCUCCAAAAGAGGGAGGGCGUGGAAAUAAGUCAAUUUCUUUUCGAACCAUUUGUGAUUUUCAAAGUUUUGGAAAUGAUUCUAUUCGGGUCAUGAAUAAAAGGGUUCGAGAUUUUGAAAAAAAAAUUCGAGCAAGUGGCCCGAUUUGAGGACAAAUCGUCUUCAAGAGGGAGGGUAUGAUGUGAUCCUGAUCGCAUCAUGUAAUGUCACAACCCAACGCCGUCGAGUUUGGCCUAAACGCGAGAGGCCCAAGUGCAAGAUGAAGCUCAUUUUUUUGUUCAUUCGAGCUCAAGUUAGUUCAUUCGAGCUCAAGUUAGCUCAUCCGAGCUCAAGUCAGCACAUUCGAGCUCAAUUCGGCUCAUUAAGCUUGAACUUCAAUUUAUUUUAAUUUAUGCUUUUACAUAGUUGCUGGAAUAAAUUAAGUUCAUUAGUUAAUUUGUUAGUUUCAUCAUGCACAUGAUUUAAUUUGGGUCUAAUAAUUUUUUUAUAUUAAAUUUGCUUUAUUUAAUGAUUUAAUUAUGUCUUCAAUUAGUACACAUUAAUUUGUCCUAGGUUAAGGCAUGCAUUUAAUUUGUUCAUGUCCAGCUGAAUUAAUAUGGCUAAUUAAUUUGUCUUGGUUCAAGCAUGAGAUUAAUGUAUGUUUUUAAGGUGUCCAGCUGAAUUUAAUUGUCAUUACAUUAUUUAAUUUGUCUUGCUACAACCGAAUUUAAUGAUAUCUUAAAUGGUGUUUUUUUCAGCCGAAAUUAAAGAGCCACUUUAAUGGGUCUUCUGGCUGCCGAAUUUUUUGACUUGUCCAGCCAAAUUUGUCCAUUUAAAAAGCCUAAAGUCAGCCAAAUUUAUGAGCAUAGUUAUUGAUCAAGUUGCUGCCAAUUUAAUUUGUCUUAAGAUGCUGAUGACCGAAUUUAAUUAUUUGUCUGCAGGUUUAAUGGCUUGGAUGGCAUUAAAGGAAGUGGAUGAUGCCAAAUUUAAUAUGUCUAUUGACCAUUUUUAAUUUGUCUGAAAAUGUGAAUUAAAGGCUGAAUUUUAAUGGGUGCAGGUUCAUGGACGUGGGACAGUAAUUAAAGAAGAACGACAAGAAUUUAUGCAGGGUUUUUUCGUGAAAAAAACAGCAACAAUAAAGGAUGCAUGGUGGCCGAAUUUAAUGUACAACAAAGACAUGCAUUAAGGGUGCUGUUCUACAUGCAAGGAACGACAUUUAAGAGGUGGCUGCUGUUGCACCCUUUCCAAGCUAAUUAUUCAGCUCACCAAUGCGUUUUUAAAGCCCAACUGUUGAAAUAUUCCAUUCACCAACAAAGGCCUUUCAGAUUCGUGUGUUCACACUCCUUUGGCCGAUCAGCUCUUUGUGUUCACAUUCUAUGACUAUUGAUGAGUCCAAGUUAAUCAUUAAAUUUCAAGACUAAUUAGCUGACCAAAGCAGCUCUUUCAAGGCUCAUAAAAGACCUUGGCUGAACCUGGUAUGCCUUUUUCAGCUCAAGGCUCCUCGUGCGCAUCAAAGACACCAUUCAAAGCUGUUCGUGUAGCUCAAUGGUCAGCCAAGCAUUGAAGACGUUCCAUGAAUCUUUCCAGCUGAGUUAAUCCCAUCUAGAAGCUGUCCAUUUAUCUACCUUUUGUGACCAUUCGGCUUGACAUUCAAUAUUAGUAUAAAUAGUUGUUUUGUAAUCAUUUUAGGGGUAGACAAUAUACUUUUGAAUCUUAUAUGAUAUCUUAUUACUUUGUGAGUUUGUUUUCAA